ensembl:lncRNA
ACACUCCAGACAGCUUAAUCAGCAGAAUCUUGAAGGCAGGAAUUCAUCACUCAUUACUUUGCUGCCUAUCAGCAAUUAGCAGUGGGAGGUAGAUGAUCCUGCUUCUAGAGGCCAGGAUCAAUCCAUCCAUCUGUGCUCCACUACCAGGGGCAAGUGCAGCCUCACGUUCACUGCAUGAUGGAUGCAUGGAACGGCGCUGCGUUACUGAUUGCUUUCUCUGUAAGACACCUGUGAAACUCUACAGAGAUUUAUGAACCAUCUCUGG